rnacentral:lncRNA from 1 species
CUUCAUCCUCCUCCACCUCAGCAAUAAAUGUGGGGGUUUUUCAAGAUCAAGAGAAGUUUCUUCAAGGCCUGAAGACCAUCCCCAGUGGAUUUCCAUUGCUUGGGUUGGUCCAGGAUCCAUCAGUCCGUCUGAUAACAGCAUCUGAGUGUACUACCUUAGCAUACAAUCUCCACUCAAUCUAUGUGGUUCAAGAAUGGGCAACUGACCCAAGUCUGGGCAAUCAGAGAACAACAUCCCCUGGCCCAAGUGACCACCACACAAAUGGACACAGUUAGGCCAAUGGAGACUCAAUUCUGGUUCUUUGGACUGAGUGGAAAAGAGAAACUCUCCUUCCUCUUUCCUUGGCUGAGAGGAUAGAAAGUGUAUGUUACAGACAGACCUGCAUGCACAUCAGUGAAGAUGGCCUCCAGUUGUGGUGGCCUGAAAGCCGCCUCUCCUUCUGCCUUCUACCCUCUACCCUGCAGCAGAGAAUGGUCAGACCUCCAGCCAGAGGGCAGCCAGCAAAGACAGCAGCAGCCUUG